rnacentral:rRNA from 1 species
AACGAACGCUGGCGGCAUGCCUAACACAUGCAAGUCGAACGAGACCUUCGGGUCUAGUGGCGCACGGGUGCGUAACGCGUGGGAACCUGCCCUUAGGUUCAGAAUAACUCCCCGAAAGGGGUGCUAAUACCGGAUAAUGUCUUCGGACCAAAGAUUUAUCGCCUUUGGAUGGGCCCGCGUUGGAUUAGCUAGUUGGUAGGGUAAAAGCCUACCAAGGCGACGAUCCAUAGCUGGUCUGAGAGGAUGAUCAGCCACACUGGGACUGAGACACGGCCCAGACUCCUACGGGAGGCAGCAGUGGGGAAUAUUGGACAAUGGGCGAAAGCCUGAUCCAGCAAUGCCGGGUGAGUGAUGAAGGCCUUAGGGUUGUAAAGCUCUUUUAACCGGGAUGAUAAUGACAGUACCGGGAGAAUAAGCUCCGGCUAACUCCGUG